GUGCUGCUUAAGAGUCCCAAACUAGUUGGACGAAACGGCUGUCCAGUAC
rnacentral:hammerhead_ribozyme from 1 species